rfam:Camelus ferus unplaced genomic scaffold scaffold26915, whole genome shotgun sequence.
GAGGGUAUAGCUCAGUGGUAGAGUACAUGACUAGCAUGCAUAAUGUCUUAGGUUCAAUCCCCAGAACCUCCA